GUCCACUGAUGGUUCUGCGCGGAGAAGGAAAGGGGAGUCAACCCCUCUGGGGCCUCUUCCAGCUCCAAGAUUCUGGAACGUGUCCCAGGUUGUCACAACAAAGGAUUCACAAAGGCUGUGCUGAAGCAUGCUCCGGGUACACCAGGAGCGCUUCGAGGAGGGGCAGAGCAACCAUCACUGCCCAUGUCAGAACCAAGACACCAUGCACCAAGAGGAACCUCAGGUGCAGUGCGGGAACAUGAGACAUCUCCUUCCUAUAGUGAGGAUGUCUGUGCAUCUGCGGCUGAUAGGGAAACAAGUGGGGAUGCUUUCCCCAAACUGCACGAUGGUCCCUUGGCUAAGAAGAACCCCAGACAGACCACAGAGGCAGCCAGGACACAGGCGGGGGCUUCCAGGCGAGCCUCCCAGACGAGCCUCCCAGAUGAGCCUCCCGAGUAAGCAGGAGCCAUAAGACGUACCCGCGCACAAGUGAUCCAACGAGAGGACAUCUGUCCGCGAACAAGCAGGAGUUAUCAGCAGGUGACAGCUGGAGCCGGUUUUACAGACAUCUCAUUAUAAAGGAAAACAUGGAUCCUGUUCAUCCUAUAAAGGAUCGCAUUCUUAUGCAUUGGUUAUAUAAAUUUAUAUAGUAAUACUAUUUAAUC